CCUACGGGAGGCAGCAGUAGGGAAUCUUCCGCAAUGGACGAAAGUCUGACGGAGCAACGCCGCGUGAACGAUGAAGGCCUUCGGGUCGUAAAGUUCUGUUGUUAGGGAAGAACAAGUGCUAGUUGAAUAAGCUGGCACCUUGACGGUACCUAACCAGAAAGCCACGGCUAACUACGUGCCAGCAGCCGCGGUAAUACGUAGGUGGCAAGCGUUGUCCGGAAUUAUUGGGCGUAAAGCGCGCGCAGGCGGUUUCUUAAGUCUGAUGUGAAAGCCCCCGGCUCAACCGGGGAGGGUCAUUGGAAACUGGGAAACUUGGGUGCAGAAGAGGAAAGUGGAAUUCCAAGUGUAGCGGUGAAAUGCGUAGAGAUUUGGAGGAACACCAGUGGCGAAGGCGACUUUCUGGUCUGUAACUGACGCUGAGGCGCGAAAGCGUGGGGAGCAAACAGGAUUAGAUACCCUGGUAGUCCACGCUGUAAACGAUGAGUGCUAAGUGUUAGAGGGUUUCCGCCCUUUAGUGCUGAAGUUAACGCAUUAAGCACUCCGCCUGGGGGAUACGGUCGCAAGACUGAAACUCAAAAUGAAUUGACGGCUGAGACGNGCGAGACGACACGAGGGAGAG
rnacentral:rRNA from 1 species